rnacentral:rRNA from 1 species
GACGAACGCUGGCGGCGUGCCUAACACAUGCAAGUCGAACGAGAAUCACUUGAACAGAGGCUUCGGCCGACGGGAUUGUGAGGAAAGUGGCGAACGGGUGAGUAACGCGUGAGGAACCUGCCUUUCAGUGGGGGACAACAGUUGGAAACGACUGCUAAUACCGCAUAAUGUAUCGAGGGGGCAUCCCCUUGAUACCAAAGCUUUAUGUGCUGAAAGAUGGUCUCGCGUCUGAUUAGCUAGUUGGUGAGGUAACGGCCCACCAAGGCGACGAUCAGUAGCCGGACUGAGAGGUUGAACGGCCACAUUGGGACUGAGAUACGGCCCAGACUCCUACGGGAGGCAGCAGUGGGGAAUAUUGGGCAAUGGGCGCAAGCCUGACCCAGCAAUGCCGCGUGAAGGAAGAAGGCUUUCGGGUUGUAAAACUUCUGUUUUUAGUGAAGAACAAAUGACGGUAGCUAAAGAGGAAGCCACGGCUAACUACGUG